rnacentral:rRNA from 1 species
UGGCUCAGAUUGAACGCUGGCGGCAGGCCUAACACAUGCAAGUCGAGCGGUAACACAGGAGAGCUUGCUCUCUGGGUGACGAGCGGCGGACGGGUGAGUAAUGUCUGGGAAACUGCCCGAUGGAGGGGGAUAACUACUGGAAACGGUAGCUAAUACCGCAUAACGUCUUCGGACCAAAGAGGGGGACCUUCGGGCCUCUUGCCAUCGGAUGUGCCCAGAUGGGAUUAGCUAGUAGGUGGGGUAAUGGCUCACCUAGGCGACGAUCCCUAGCUGGUCUGAGAGGAUGACCAGCCACACUGGAACUGAGACACGGUCCAGACUCCUACGGGAGGCAGCAGUGGGGAAUAUUGCACAAUGGGCGCAAGCCUGAUGCAGCCAUGCCGCGUGUAUGAAGAAGGCCUUCGGGUUGUAAAGUACUUUCAGCGAGGAGGAAGGCAUUAAGGUUAAUAACCUUAGUGAUUGACGUUACUCGCAGAAGAAGCACCGGCUAACUCCGUGCCAGCAGCCGCGGUAAUACGGAGGGUGCAAGCGUUAAUCGGAAUUACUGGGCGUAAAGCGCACGCAGGCGGUCUGUCAAGUCGGAUGUGAAAUCCCCGGGCUCAACCUGGGAACUGCAUUCGAAACUGGCAGGCUAGAGUCUUGUAGAGGGGGGUAGAAUUCCAGGUGUAGCGGUGAAAUGCGUAGAGAUCUGGAGGAAUACCGGUGGCGAAGGCGGCCCCCUGGACAAAGACUGA